rnacentral:rRNA from 1 species
AACGUAGGAGACAAACGUUAUCCGGAGUUACUGGGCGUAAAGGGCGUGUAGGCGGAUUGUUAAGUCUGGCGUGAAAGCUCCCGGCUAAACCGGGAGAGGUCGUUGGAUACUGGCAGUCUAGAGGAUGGUAGAGGCGUGUGGAAUUCCGGGUGUAGUGGUGAAAUGCGUAGAGAUCCGGAGGAACACCAGUGGCGAAGGCGACACGCUGGGCCAUACCUGACGCUAAAGCGCGACAGCAUGGGGAGCAAACGGG